GUGAAUCAUCAAAUCUUUGAACGCAAAUUGCACUCUCUGGUAUUCCGGGGAGUAUGCCUGUUUGAGGGUCAGUUUAAAUAAAAAUCGGGGUGGUUUCUGCCUUUCGUGGUGACGGACCGGAGGUGGGUCGUCUUGCCUUCGGUUAAGUGACCUAAAAUUUUGCAUUAUUUUUUUCUAUCAUAUUUAAAUAAUUUUACUUAAGUUUUCUAUAUCUAAUACUAAGUUUUGUCAUGAUCAUAAU
rnacentral:misc_RNA from 1 species